AGCAGAUGCCUCGCAACCCUGGGAAGUGUCAGUCUGCCAUCCACACAGCUUCACCUUGAGGUUUCAGUAGACUUGCCUGGAGAACAAGAAUUCCAUUUUAUGACACCUUUCAAGGUUCUGAAAUUCAUUUGUGUUACACAUUGGACAAGAAAUGAAACUGUUGAAACGUCCAUUCGUGGAUAAAAAAGGCCAAGUGUUUAUUUGAAUCUCGCUCUCUCCCCGUCUCCCCUUCAACUGGGGAGUUCACCCUGGACCCCAGAAACCUUACCAUGAAAAUCAAUACAUUCCCACUAAAUGUUUCAUCUUCAAUGAAACUGCAUUUUGACAAAAGAGAAAAGUGCAGGUUUCCUAUUGAACUGACCCUGGGGUAGGGGUGGGGGAUAAGAUAGUCAAAGAAGGGCACUCAGUUUGCUCAGGAUUGUUAACCUGUUUUAAAUGGAAGUUUGGUUCAUUAUUCUGAAAAGCGAGAGCACGGUAGACCCCUCCCUACCCCCGCCAGCUGUGACUUUUACUCUUCACACAACCUGCGUAAUAGGAAGGAACUACAUGGGCACAGUGGGGUCCAAGUAACAAUGUUUACUAACUAUUCACAACAUGCAAGGCUUAGCUAAGUAUAGAUAUAGAGAUAUAGAUACACACACACACGGGUGCUCAGACAGGGCUUCUGAAACAGAUGAUAGUGAGGGUCAAUAGGAUUUAUUAGCAUACAACUUAGCACGUAACCAUCUUUCCAAUAGAUCUUUCCUAAUCAUCUGCAGGUACAGUGAUCUGCUCCAAUAUGUCACCAUUCCUACAAACACAGUCCCACCCUCCAGAAAGCCAUAGCCCUGAUCCAAAGCUCAUUAAAUGGGAGCCUUUCCUAUAACUUCAGUGAGCUAUUCUUCAAGUCAUACAUGAAGAUCAUAACAAAGGAGGAAAUCUGAACCAAUGUGAACUGAUAAUUUCUUAUUUUAUUUGCAACCAAUUAGCAUUUCUGAAGUCAACAAUUUUCAAUGAGGAAACGAAGGACUUUACAGCAGAUUUGUGCAGGAGGGAGGAAAACCAGAGUACAACAGGAUGUGCACUUCUGGGUAUGACGAACAGUUGAAAGGUGCGAUCCCAAGUGAUUUGCACCACAUAAGCUACAGGAGCAGCUAUGAAGACAGAAGAGAUUGAAAAAAAAUAUGGCCACCCAGCACAUAAAAUCAAUGGCAACAGCAGAGUCCUUAGUGGACUUCAUGGAGUCUCUGGCUUGUCUUCCUUUCUGAGGGACAAAAGCCCUGCUUGGGACAUGGAACUACUUUGCAGAGUGGAAAUACAUACACCUCUACCUCGAUAUAAUGCUGUCCUCGGGAGCCAAAAAAUCUUACCAUAUUAUAGGUGAAACCACAUUAUAUCGAACUUGCUUUGAUCCUCCGGAGUGCACGGC